ACGAUCUCACGCGACGACGGGUAGCCGGCCUGAGAGGGCGACCGGCCACACUGGGACUGAGACACGGCCCAGACUCCUACGGGAGGCAGCAGUGGGGAAUAUUGCACAAUGGGCGAAAGCCUGAUGCAGCGACGCCGCGUGAGGGAUGACGGCCUUCGGGUUGUAAACCUCUUUCAGCAGGGAAGAAGCGAGAGUGACGGUACCUGCAGAAGAAGCGCCGGCUAACUACGUGCCAGCAGCCGCGGUAAUACGUAGGGCGCAAGCGUUGUCCGGAAUUAUUGGGCGUAAAGAGCUCGUAGGCGGCUUGUCACGUCGGAUGUGAAAGCCCGGGGCUUAACCCCGGGUCUGCAUUCGAUACGGGCUAGCUAGAGUGUGGUAGGGGAGAUCGGAAUUCCUGGUGUAGCGGUGAAAUGCGCAGAUAUCAGGAGGAACACCGGUGGCGAAGGCGGAUCUCUGGGCCAUUACUGACGCUGAGGAGCGAAAGCGUGGGGAGCGAACAGGAUUAGAUACCCUGGUAGUCCACGCCGUAAACGUUGGGAACUAGGUGUUGGCGACAUUCCACGUCGUCGGUGCCGCAGCUAACGCAUUAAGUUCCCCGCCUGGGGGAGUACGGA
rnacentral:rRNA from 1 species